GACGAACGCUGGCGGCGUGCUUAACACAUGCAAGUCGAGCGGUAAGGCCCUUUCGGGGGUACGACGAGCGGCGAACGGGUGAGUAACACGUGGGUGACCUGCCCUCAGCUCUGGGAUAAGCCUGGGAAACCGGGUCUAAUACUGGAUAUGACUCCAUGACGCAUGUUGUGGGGUGGAAAGCCUUGUGCGGCUGAGGAUGGGCCCGCGGCCUAUCAGCUUGUUGGUGGGGUGAGGCCUACCAAGGCGACGACGGGUAGCCGGCCUGAGAGGGCGACCGGCCACACUGGGACUGAGACACGGCCCAGACUCCUACGGGAGGCAGCAGUGGGGAAGUCUUGCGCAAUGGGCGAAAGCCUGACGCAGCGACGCCGCGUGAGGGAUGACGGCC
rnacentral:rRNA from 1 species